rnacentral:rRNA from 1 species
GAUGAACGCUGACAGAAUGCUUAACACAUGCAAGUCUACUUGAUCCUUCGGGUGAUGGUGGCGGACGGGUGAGUAACGCGUAAAGAACUUGCCCUGCAGUCUGGGACAACAUUUGGAAACGAAUGCUAAUACCGGAUAUUAUGUGAGUUUCGCAUGAAAUUCAUAUGAAAGCUAUAUGCGCUGCAGGAGAGCUUUGCGUCCUAUUAGCUAGUUGGUGAGGUAACGGCUCACCAAGGCGAUGAUAGGUAGCCGGCCUGAGAGGGUGAACGGCCACAAGGGGACUGAGACACGGCCCUUACUCCUACGGGAGGCAGCAGUGGGGAAUAUUGGACAAUGGACCAAAAGUCUGAUCCAGCAAUUCUGUGUGCACGAUGAAGUUUUUCGGAAUGUAAAGUGCUUUCAGUUGGGACGAAGUAAGUGACGGUACCAACAGAAGAAGCGACGGCUAAAUACGUGCCAGCAGCCGCGGUAAUACGUAUGUCGCAAGCGUUAUCCGGAUUUAUUGGGCGUAAAGCGCGUCUAGGCGGUUUGAUAAGUCUGAUGUGAAAAUGCGGGGCUCAACUCCGUAUUGCGUUGGAAACUGCCAAACUAGAGUACUGGAGAGGUAGGCGGAACUACAAGUGUAGAGGUGAAAUUCGUAGAUAUUUGUAGGAAUGCCGAUGGGGAAGCCAGCCUACUGGACAGAUACUGACGCUAAAGCGCGAAAGCGUGGGUAGCAAACAGG